rnacentral:tRNA from 1 species
AUUUAUAUAGUUUAACAAAAACAUUACAUUUUCAUUGUAAAAUUAGACCCUAUCUUAUAAAUA